UUGUAGGAGACUAGUUUCGGCUGUUUUUUUGGCCUAUUGCAUAGGCUUAUUUUGCUGCAACAUCAAUUUUCAUUGUAAUUAUUAUGGGAUGUUUGAUGUAAAUAUUAAGGCUAUAGCCUUUUAAUCUAUAUAUCUUCUACUUAUGUUAAAAAAAAAAGUAGAAAAACACAAAUGGAUACCAAAUAUAGACUUUAAAAAAAAAAUCUAGCUUCAAAGGGCUUGAACCCGUACCACAGGUAAGUACACCGGUUUUUCCCAAGUAUCCCUAUAAAAAUUUUGGACAACUCUCACUUUCAGAUCUCUUUCUCUCUCAUUCUCCUCUCCCUAUCUCUCUUAACUCCACCGCAGACCCGACAACUCUCUCGUCCUCUCUCUCUUUCUACACCCUCCUCACUCACAAGUGGCGGCGAUGGUGGUGACGAUGGUGAAGGUGGUCGCAAGCGAUAACGACGGUGCUUUGAAUUCUAGGGUUUUGAUUGCUUGUCAUGAUCAAAAUGUACCAUGGCGUAGGCAAAAUUCUAUUGAUAAAGUUCAAUGAUAUUAUAUACGAGAUGUCAACACUGUUGAGUGUUGAUUCUGCUAUUAGUUCUUAGAUGGAUAUGUCCAUUUAUGCAGUGUCGGGCGACCAUGGUACAACCUUUGAAGCAGAGGAUGUCACAUUUCAGCAGCCAGUACUCGUAGAAAAAGAGGCAGCAGAGGAAGGAGGUUGUGAAUGAUCGUGUUUCAGCACUACUGUUUAUGUUGUGCUUUACUGCUACUUAGCCUUUAGCAUUGUAAUUGUUUUUAUUUUUUUUUUUUUUUUUAAAUUGUAAUUUAACAAGCAUUUAUUAAUUAAAAAAUAAAUCUAAUUAUAUAUAUGUAUAUAUUUCAUUUAAUGGUUUGUUUAUCAAUUCUACUUUUUUUUUGGCAUGAAGAGCACCGAAUCAAGGGAAAAUUCAAUGCCCUUGAUGUUAGGCUGGGCAUCCAUGCCCAUUAAUUGCACCUUUUCUACUUGUAAUA